GAUAAACGCUGGCGGCGUGCUUAACACAUGCAAGUCGAACGAAGUUUUUCCUUCGGGAGGAACUUAGUGGCGGACGGGUGAGUAACGCGUGGGUAACCUGCCCUGUACAGGGGGACAACAGCUGGAAACGGCUGCUAAUACCGCAUAAGCACUUAGCACUGCAUGGUGCAUAGGGAAAAGGAGCAAUCCGGUACAGGAUGGACCCGCGUCUGAUUAGCCAGUUGGCAGGGUAACGGCCUACCAAAGCGACGAUCAGUAGCCGAUCUGAGAGGAUGUACGGCCACAUUGGGACUGAGACACGGCCCAGACUCCUACGGGAGGCAGCAGUGGGGAAUAUUGCACAAUGGAGGAAACUCUGAUGCAGCGACGCCGCGUGAGUGAAGAAGUAUUUCGGUAUGUAAAGCUCUAUCAGCAGGGAAGAAAAUGACGGUACCUGACUAAGAAGCACCGGCUAAAUACGUG
rnacentral:rRNA from 1 species